UGGAGCAGGGGCUGGGAUAAAAGCUGAUUUUAAGAAUUUUAUAUUAUUGUUCAGGUUGUGCAUGGCAAAGCAAAGUAUUCCUGACUUGUGAUGGCUCUGGCACAAAGGACAUUUGCUGGCACCACAGUCCUUGGGAUUAAUUUCAUGCUGCUCAGUGUAAGAGAUACCAGUUGGUAUUUAAUGUAUUUCCUGAUAUUAGAAUAAUAAUAAUAAUAAUAAAAAACCCAAAAACCUCCAACAAACUGUUGCCAGUUGUACUUGAUACAAAGAAUAAAUGAGUCAGAGCAAUGUCUUGCUGCUGGUGCAAGUGUCAGGGUCUCCAGGGGAAGCUGUUUGCUGAUAAAUUGAGUUCUCCUGACCUCUUCCCUCUCUGCUUAAAAGGUAGUGGGGUAUAGAUGGAUUUAUUGCUCAACCUUGUAAUAAUUUCAAUUUUCAAUAAAUUCUAGCAGUGACUCACACCCA